rnacentral:rRNA from 1 species
GUACGAUGGGGAUGCGUUCCAUUAGGUAGUAGGCGGGGUAACGGCCCACCUAGCCUACGAUGGAUAGGGGUUCUGAGAGGAAGGUCCCCCACAUUGGAACUGAGACACGGUCCAAACUCCUACGGGAGGCAGCAGUGAGGAAUAUUGGUCAAUGGACGAGAGUCUGAACCAGCCAAGUAGCGUGAAGGAUGAAGGUCUUACGGAUUGUAAACUUCUUUUAUAAGGGAAUAAAACCUCCCACGUGUGGGAGCUUGUAUGUACCUUAUGAAUAAGCAUCGGCUAACUCCGUGCCAGCAGCCGCGGUAAUACGGAGGAUGCGAGCGUUAUCCGGAUUUAUUGGGUUUAAAGGGAGCGCAGACGGGUCGUUAAGUCAGCUGUGAAAGUUUGGGGCUCAACCUUAAAAUUG